rnacentral:lncRNA from 1 species
UUAAAUAGCAUGGUUUAGUGGGCAGCAGCAAUUAAGUGCAGCUACAAAUAUCUGCUAAAAAUAUCACCCUCCACUAUAGAUCCCAGCUUGACUGAAGUAUCAAGUUGUGGACUGCCCAACUGAAAUAUCAAGUUGUGGGCUGUGUUGGGAACAAUAGAACCUUAUCUGCUCUCCACCAUACUUUAAUUGUUGUACAAGUUGGAUAUUUUGUGCAGUCGACUAGGUUCAAUGCUUGGGUUGGGUUUGUAAACCUGAGAGGAAUUGGGUGCAUGAAGGCCACAUAGGGUAGCUCAAGUAGUGAUGGCACUCUUGGAAACCCAUGUCCACUACAUGUUAAGCAAAUGCAGUGACAAUUGCCCAAUGUUCAGGUGUUUAAAGGGCAGCGAGCAAUGGAAAUCUCCUUUCUACCUCGAGCUCUACUCACAGACUACUGCAAUGGUGUGAGAUUCAUGUGUGCUUGCCAGGGUUAACCCUCUCCCUAGCCCCAGGGUAGCCCUGUCUAGAACUACGCGCGCCAACACCCAGUCUGGUGACCGCGCUCACCUGAGUGAUCACCUUGUCGUGGCUAGGCCGACUCAAGCAGGCAUUGGUCCAUAUUGUGCCUAUCUCAUAUCCCCUAUAGAUCAGUGAACCUCACCAAGCUGUUUUCCCUAACGCUACUAUCAUGCUUUUGCUGGAACAGGGGCAUGUCGUCGUGAUCUGGUGCUAUGGGCAGCUCCACCACAUACCAUACAACUCACGCUUUCCUCAAUCAACCUCGCGCGAGCACCGUGAUCUAUGUAAGUCAGUGAUACUCUCCAUGUCUUUGGUUUGAGCUCUACCAUAGAGGUGCAUCAGAAUCGGGCACGCCGAGUCAAGAACUCCGUGGGUAUUGUGGCAGGGGUGGACUGGUACUUGUCGUGGGUGUUGGAGGAUUGAGGUUAAUGCGGGUUGGCUAUGAACACAUGUCAGAGGUGAUUUGUGGGUGCCAAUGACCUACGCCGCCGCUGCCAUAGUCGUCGGUUCACUGGAGAACUAUGCGGCGGUGUUGGGGCCGUGAAGUUGUGAAUGAGCCGAAGCCGAGGGGUGUGCGUGAAACUGUCGGUGACUCAGCCAAACAGUGGCUCAGAGUCAUAUCAGUUUAGUUAGAGCAGCGGGGUCUUUUAUGCAAAAACGCAGGCGCGGGCCGUUGGCCACGGGCCAGUUUUGCUUGGUUCUGGGCUGUCUAGAUUAAUUUAGGCCCAACACUAUUCACUACUUUACCUUUUUCUUUUGUCUGAAAGCUUGGAUGUUGUCCCAAAAAUAGUAGAAAAUUUAAAAAAUCAUAGGACAAAUUUUGUUGGAUGUCUAAAAUCAAGAGCUCUCUGGUAAAGUUGGUGUUAGGAUUUUUAGAUCAGUUAGCAAAUUUUAAGUGAAGUUAAGGUGCUCUUAGAAGGACUAUUGGAACUUUAUAAAUUUGAUUUGGGUACCAAAAAUCAUGGGAAUUUUUGGAGAAGCUUGUUAUGAGAAGUUGAACAGUUGGUAAAAGUUUGGGGAUAUUUGGAAGCUUGUUGCUCUAGAAACCUUGUAAGCCCCAAAAUAAAAUGGUUAAUCCCUAAUCAGGUGUGGGUUAGUGGUUUGGAAACGAGAUGAGUUUAUUUAGUGAGAGUUGGUCUUUAGAGGAAGGAACCAAAGGAAGAUUAAUCCCUACGUAAAUUCAAUUUGGCCACUUUUAUCAAGUGCUAGGUUGUGUAGAAGUAUGUGUAUACUUGUCAUGUACUUAUUUAGGAGUGUUUAUGUUCCCCACCUCUCCUUGUGAGAGUUUGCAUGUCAUAUCAUUACAUAAGCAUUCAUGUAUUUGUAAUUGACUUGUAGAACACUUAGAAGAAGUGGUGUUUUAAGAAGGAGUCUACUCCAGUGUCUGUUGAUCAAGUGGAAGAACCAUUUAACUAGGUAUUUAAUAUAGGGAUCUAGAACCUCUUCACUGCAAUAAGGCAAGUCCGACUGGAUUUGCCCCUUCCUUGUAUUUUUAGAAAGACUUUUAUACACUUUAAGUCUAGUGAAAUGUGCAUUAAGUUUAUAAGAGUUGCUUGGAAACUAUUUGAUGCAUUGACUACCUUGAUAUCCAUUCCUGUUAUAGAUACUUCUUUGGAAGUAUCAAAUAUUGUUUACAAAAAUUGCUUAGCCCUACCUAGAGGUAAGUCUUGCAAAUAGAGUUGGUCAUUUGCACUAAUGCCUAGCUCAGGGUUUAUCCUGAGGAAGGAUGGCUCUACCUACAAGAAUAUUUUCACCAGGAUCAUGGGGAGAUCUAAUGCAAGGUUACUUGUGACGUUUUAAUCAUCCUAAGGUACAUAAAUAUGUCCUAAGGGUGAAAGUACUUAAAUCGAGACUUAGGCUAGGAACAGGUGAUGUUCUGCCUAGGUUGAUUAAGGAUUAUAGGGAAUACAGGCUUGAUGAUCGAGGACUAUAUUAACUAGCCACAUGCCCCGAUAUGGGACAGGUUAAGCCUAAUAUUAGCUUGACCAAUACAAGAAAGGCUACCACGCAACGGGAGUGGAGAGAUGGCGAGAGUAGUGUGUACCCUCCAUGGCAAGAGGCUAGACGGUGGAGUAACUGUGCUCUCGGUUGGCGUGAACCCGGUCUGGUCUUGAGAUAGCAGGGAGCGGGUUGGCAUAUGCAAGGGUUAAGUGCUACAUAUGUCAUGUGGUUAGGGAUCCCCAGCUGGGUAAAUAGAUUUGGAUCGCCGUUAUAUCCUCGGACAAUGGAGACUUGACCACUGCCCUGCAAUUUAAGUCAUGUAUGGAAUCAUAAUGAGCAAAAAUCAUGUUGUAUUGAUUAAUGUGAUGAUGAAAUUAAACUAGAUGCAAACAAGGUCUAUUAAUACUUAAUCUAGCAUUAAAAUUUUGAAAGUAAGGACUCAUUUUAGUAAGCUUUUCUGCAAACUAUUAAAGUUGAUUCUUGCUAAAAGCCUUUCCUUGAUUCCCAAAUCCAGCAUAUCCUUGAGAGUUUUUUUCCUUAGUCGGGUAAGACUUGUGAAAGUACACUCUGUACUUAGGAUUUUCGAACCCAUGUUGUUGUAGGUAAUCAGGAGUAUUCUAGAUGUCCCUGUGGCUGGAAGAUGCUUCUAGUCUUGAAGGAGGAUUAGUUAGGUUUAUGUAUGAGCUUUGGAAGGGAUCUACCUUCCUACUUUUGUAUGUAAGUUAUGCACUUUGAGUAUAUCAGGACUUGUAAUAAUUAUAAAUCUUUCUAGCAUGUAAAACUUGAGUUUUGGAAUAAAGAAUGUUUUGUAAAGUCUUCUGCUCUAUCUCCGAAGUGUGUGUGUAUCGAAUGUGAUUACUGUAAUAUACAUGUUUGUGUGAGAUCUCUAGGAUAAUGAGUUCAAGUUGUUGAACUCCAUAGCCUUGUUAAGUUACACGGUACACGUGCAUAGCCAUAUGAGGCCGUUAAUGGCAAGGAUUGGGGCAUGUGGGCCUAAUAACUUGGGAGGGCUAUCACACUUUGGUAUAAUGUUACUAUAUCCAUUAUUUGCUUGAUUGUAUGUACUGCUACGAGUAGAGGCAAUAUCGCGAGGAAUCUGGAGGCCAACUUUUGGGACAACAUCUGAACUACAAGGUUAUCGCAAGUAUAAG